rnacentral:tRNA from 1 species
CGGGCUGUGGCGCAGCUUGGUAGCGCGCUUCGUUCGGUACGAAGAGGUCGCAGGUUCAAAUCCUGUCACCCCGA